GAUGAACGCUGGCGGCGUGCUUAAUACAUGCAAGUCGAGCGAACGGACGCGAAGCUUGCUUUUUUGACGUUAGCGGCGGACGGGUGAGUAACACGUGGAUAAUCUACCUAUAAGACUGGGAUCACUUCGGGAAACCGGAGCUAAUACCGGAUAAUAUUUUGCACCGCAUGGUUCAAAAGUGAAAGUCGGUCUUGCUGUCACUUAUAGAUGGAUCUGCGCUGCAUUAGCUAGUUGGUAAGGUAACGGCUUAUCAAGGCAACGAUGCAUAGACGACCUGAGAGGGUGGUCGGCCACACUGGAACGGAGACACGGUCCAGACUCCUGCGGGAGGCAGCAGUAGGGAAUCGUCCGCAGUGGGCGAAAGCCUGACGGAGCAACGCCGCGUGAGAGAUGGAGGUCUUCGGAUCGUGAUACUCUGUUAUUAGGGAAGAACAUAUGUGUAAGUAGCUGUGCACAUCUUGACGGUACCGAGUCAGAAAGCCACGGCUAACUACGUG
rnacentral:rRNA from 1 species